rnacentral:rRNA from 1 species
AGUGAACGCUGGCGGUAGGCCUAACACAUGCAAGUCGAACGGCAGCACAGUAAGAGCUUGCUCUUACGGGUGGCGAGUGGCGGACGGGUGAGGAAUACAUCGGAAUCUACUUUUUCGUGGGGGAUAACGUAGGGAAACUUACGCUAAUACCGCAUACGAUCUACGGGUGAAAGCAGGGGAUCUUCGGACCUUGCGCGAUUGAAUGAGCCGAUGUCGGAUUAGCUAGUUGGCGGGGUAAAGGCCCACCAAGGCGACGAUCCGUAGCUGGUCUGAGAGGAUGAUCGGCCACACUGGAACUGAGACACGGUCCAGACUCCUACGGGAGGCAGCAGUAGGGAAUAUUGCGCAAUGGGCGAAAGCCUGAUCCAGCAACGCCGCGUGAGUGAUGAAGGCCUUCGGAUUGUAAAGCCCUUUUAUUAGGGAAGAAAAGAAGUGUAAGUAUACCUCGCCGUUUUGACGGUACCUAAAGAGAAAGCACCGGCUAACUACGUG